rnacentral:lncRNA from 8 species
CAGCCAGUUGAAUAAGUCCUUAAAUGUGAUAGGGAAGCAUCCAACGGGAAAGUGUGUUAUCUAUUUUAAGAGCAACGGGGCUGGCAGGUAGGAUUUAGUUUCUCCCUGUCUCUGGCCCACACUCCAGUACAGUAGGUGGCGGUAAUGCACCAUAACGUUGGAUGCCAACCGCCGAUACAAAUUGAAAGAAGAAAAAACAUGGCGGACAGCCACUAGCUCAAUCCACAAAUAUUUCAAAGCAAGCAUGCUGUGUUGACGGAGCUAGCUAUCUGUUGUUCGAGCAUGCCCAUGUUAUUAGCUUGGAGUGAUCCCUGAGUGUGUUUGGGUGGGUGACUGAGGUCUGCUGACAGCUGGGGCCACCUCUUUGUUGUACCCUGUCAUCUGCCUCCAACGCCAACCCCCUGCCUGGCCGACAGAAGGGGAGAGCGUUAAGCGCGAAUCUGUGGGGAAGUCAACCUGAGCAUCCACAAAUGAAAGUGGACUAUUGUGUCUUGAAC